rnacentral:rRNA from 1 species
GGAAAGGCGCGCGAUACAGGGUGACAGCCCCGUACACAAAAAUGCACAUGCUGUGAGCUCGAUGAGUAGGGCGGGACACGUGGUAUCCUGUCUGAAUAUGGGGGGACCAUCCUCCAAGGCUAAAUACUCCUGACUGACCGAUAGUGAACCAGUACCGUGAGGGAAAGGCGAAAAGAACCCCGGCGAGGGGAGUGAAAAAGAACCUGAAACCGUGUACGUACAAGCAGUGGGAGCACAGAGCAAUCUGUGUGACUGCGUACCUUUUGUAUAAUGGGUCAGCGACUUAUAUUCUGUAGCAAGGUUAACCGAAUAGGGGAGCCGAAGGGAAACCGAGUCUUAACUGGGCGUUAAGUUGCAGGGUAUAGACCCGAAACCCGGUGAUCUAGCCAUGGGCAGGUUGAAGGUUGGGUAACACUAACUGGAGGACCGAACCGACUAAUGUUGAAAAAUUAGCGGAUGACUUGUGGCUGGGGGUGAAAGGCCAAUCAAACCGGGAGAUAGCUGGUUCUCCCCGAAAGCUAUUUAGGUAG